rnacentral:lncRNA from 1 species
CAUUCCUCCAGAUGAGUUCUCAGGAAAUACACCCUGCACAGCUCCGGGACUCAAUACAAUUUCUUGAACAUGCCUCUUCUCACUUGUAUUUAAACUGGCGCACCUAAGUAAGGUCUCCCCUCUAUGAAGUGAUCCACAUCAGCAAAUAUUAUUACAACUCCUAAUGCAAAAGGAUUCAAAAAGUGAAAAACGAAAACAAAAUAAUAUAUGGCUGGUGAUUAAAAGAAGAUUUAGAAAAUCAUGGAGACAGAGAGUCACAGUUUACGACCUUGAGACCACACAUUGUUAUGGAAAAUGAUCUUGCUAUUACGACGCUAAAGACUAGG